rnacentral:ncRNA from 1 species
CUCGCCGCCGGGAACGUCGGUUCGGUCGACGCACGCCCGGGACGAGACGACAUGUGGCCCCUCGCGGCUGAAUCGCAAC